GAUGAACGCUGGCGGCGUGCCUAAUACAUGCAAGUCGAGCGAACGGACGAGAAGCUUGCUUCUCCGAUGUUAGCGGCGGACGGGUGAGUAACACGUGGAUAACCUACCUAUAAGACUGGGAUAACUUCGGGAAACCGGAGCUAAUACCGGAUAAUAUUUUGAACCGCAUGGUUCAAAAGUGAAAGACGGUCUUGCUGUCACUUAUAGAUGGAUCCGCGCUGCAUUAGCUAGUUGGUAAGGUAACGGCUUACCAAGGCAACGAUGCAUAGCCGACCUGAGAGGGUGAUCGGCCACACUGGAACUGAGACACGGUCCAGACUCCUACGGGAGGCAGCAGUAGGGAAUCUUCCGCAAUGGGCGAAAGCCUGACGGAGCAACGCCGCGUGAGCGAUGAAGGUCUUCGGAUCGUAAAACUCUGUUAUUAGGGAAGAACAUAUGUGUAAGUAACUGUGCACAUCUUGACGGUACCUAAUCAGAAAGCCACGGCUAACUACGUG
rnacentral:rRNA from 1 species